rnacentral:rRNA from 1 species
GACGAACGCUGGCGGCGUGCUUAACACAUGCAAGUCGAACGGUAAGGCCCCUUCGGGGGUACACGAGUGGCGAACGGGUGAGUAACACGUGAGCAACCUGCCCUUGACUCUGGAAUAACAGUUGGAAACAGCUGCUAAUACUGGAUAUUCAUCGUCUCCUUCCUGGGGGGUGGUGGAAAGCUCCGGCGGUCAGGGAUGGGCUCGCGGCCUAUCAGCUUGUUGGUGAGGUAAUGGCUCACCAAGGCUUCGACGGGUAGCCGGCCUGAGAGGGCGACCGGCCACACUGGGACUGAGAUACGGCCCAGACCCCUACGGGAGGCAGCAGUGGGGAAUAUUGCACAAUGGGCGCAAGCCUGAUGCAGCAACGCCGCGUGCGGGAUGACGGCCUUCGGGUUGUAAACCGCUUUCAGUAGGGACGAAGGGUGACUGACGGUACCUACAGAAGAAGGACCGGCUAACUACGUG